rnacentral:rRNA from 1 species
AUUCGGAGGAUGCAAGCGUUAUCCGGAUUUAUUGGGUUUAAAGGGUGCGUAGGCGGUUUGCUAAGCGGGAGGUGAAAUGCCGGCGCUCAACGUCGGAAGUGCCUCCCGAACUGGUGGACUGGAAUGACUCUGCCGUGGGAGGAAUGUGUAGUGUAGCGGUGAAAUGCUUAGAGAUUACACAGAACACCGAUUGCGAAGGCAUCUCACGAAGGGUUGAUUGACGCUGAGGCACGAAAGCGUGGGGAUCAAACAGGAUUAGAUACCCUGGUAGUCCACGCAGUAAACGAUGAUGGCUAACCGCUGGUUUAUUCGGAUCAGUGGCCAAGCGAAAGCGAUAAGCCAUCCACCUGGGGAGUACGACCGCAAGGUUGAAACUCAAAUGAAUUGACGGGG